ACGUACACUCCUACGGGAGGCAGCAGUGGGGAAUAUUGGACAAUGGGCGCAAGCCUGAUCCAGCCAUGCCGCGUGAGUGAUGAAGGCCCUAGGGUUGUAAAGCUCUUUCACCGGUGAAGAUAAUGACGGUAACCGGAGAAGAAGCCCCGGCUAACUUCGUGCCAGCAGCCGCGGUAAUACGAAGGGGGCUAGCGUUGUUCGGAUUUACUGGGCGUAAAGCGCACGUAGGCGGACUAUUAAGUCAGGGGUGAAAUCCCGGGGCUCAACCCCGGAACUGCCUUUGAUACUGGUAGUCUUGAGUGCGAGAGAGGUGAGUGGAAUUCCGAGUGUAGAGGUGAAAUUCGUAGAUAUUCGGAGGAACACCAGUGGCGAAGGCGGCUCACUGGCUCGAUACUGACGCUGAGGUGCGAAAGCGUGGGGAGCAAACAGGAUUAGAAACCCGGGUAGUCCCAUGAU
rnacentral:rRNA from 1 species